rnacentral:rRNA from 1 species
GGUUAAGCGACUAAGCGUACACGGUGGAUGCCCUGGCAGUCAGAGGCGAUGAAGGACGUGCUAAUCUGCGAUAAGCGCCGGUAAGGUGAUAUGAACCGUUAUAACCGGCGAUUUCCGAAUGGGGAAACCCAGUGUGACUCGUCACACUAUCAUUAACUGAAUCCAUAGGUUAAUGAGGCGAACCGGGGGAACUGAAACAUCUAAGUACCCCGAGGAAAAGAAAUCAACCGAGAUUCCCCCAGUAGCGGCGAGCGAACGGGGAGGAGCCCAGAGCCUGAAUCAGCAUGUGUGUUAGUGGAAGCGUCUGGAAAGGCGCGCGAUACAGGGUGACAGCCCCGUACACAAAAGCGCAUGUGCUGUGAGCUCGAUGAGUAGGGCGGGACACGUGGUAUCCUGUCUGAAUAUGGGGGGACCAUCCUCCAAGGCUAAAUACUCCUGACUGACCGAUAGUGAACCAGUACCGUGAGGGAAAGGCGAAAAGAACCCCGGCGAGGGGAGUGAAAAAGAACCUGAAACCGUGUACGUACAAGCAGUGGGAGCACAGGUUUACCUGUGUGACUGCGUACCUUUUGUAUAAUGGGUCAGCGACUUAUAUUCUGUAGCAAGGUUAACCGUAUAGGGGAGCCGGAGGGAAACCGAGUCUUAAUUGGGCGUUAAGUUGCAGGGUAUAGACCCGAAACCCGGUGAUCUAGCCAUGGGCAGGUUGAAGGUUGGGUAACACUAACUGGAGGACCGAACCGACUAAUGUUGAAAAAUUAGCGGAUGACCUGUGGCUGGGGGUGAAAGGCCAAUCAAACCGGGAGAUAGCUGGUUCUCCCCGAAAGCUAUUUAGGUAGCGCCUCGUGAAUUCAUCUCCGGGGGUAGAGCACUGUUUCGGCUAGGGGGCCAUCCCGGCUUACCAACCCGAUGCAAACUGCGAAUACCGGAGAAUGUUAUCACGGGAGACACACGGCGGGUGCUAACGUCCGUCGUGAAGAGGGAAACAACCCAGACCGCCAGCUAAGGUCCCAAAGUCAUGGUUAAGUGGGAAACGAUGUGGGAAGGCCCAGACAGCCAGGAUGUUGGCUUAGAAGCAGCCAUCAUUUAAAGAAAGCGUAAUAGCUCACUGGUCGAGUCGGCCUGCGCGGAAGAUGUAACGGGGCUAAACCAUGCACCGAAGCUGCGGCAGCGACACUCAGGUGUUGUUGGGUAGGGGAGCGUUCUGUAAGCCUGCGAAGGUGGCCUGUGAGGGUUGCUGGAGGUAUCAGAAGUGCGAAUGCUGACAUAAGUAACGAUAAAGCGGGUGAAAAGCCCGCUCGCCGGAAGACCAAGGGUUCCUGUCCAACGUUAAUCGGGGCAGGGUGAGUCGACCCCUAAGGCGAGGCCGAAAGGCGUAGUCGAUGGGAAACGGGUUAAUAUUCCCGUACUUGGUGUUACUGCGAAGGGGGGACGGAGAAGGCUAUGUUGGCCGGGCGACGGUUGUCCCGGUUUAAGCGUGUAGGUGUGUGUUCCAGGUAAAUCCGGUUCACUUUAACACUGAGGCGUGAUGACGAGGCACUACGGUGCUGAAGCAACAAAUGCCCUGCUUCCAGGAAAAGCCUCUAAGCAUCAGGUAACAUCAAAUCGUACCCCAAACCGACACAGGUGGUCAGGUAGAGAAUACCAAGGCGCUUGAGAGAACUCGGGUGAAGGAACUAGGCAAAAUGGUGCCGUAACUUCGGGAGAAGGCACGCUGACAUGUAGGUGAAGUGAUUUACUCAUGGAGCUGAAGUCAGUCGAAGAUACCAGCUGGCUGCAACUGUUUAUUAAAAACACAGCACUGUGCAAACACGAAAGUGGACGUAUACGGUGUGACGCCUGCCCGGUGCCGGAAGGUUAAUUGAUGGGGUCAGCGCAAGCGAAGCUCCUGAUCGAAGCCCCGGUAAACGGCGGCCGUAACUAUAACGGUCCUAAGGUAGCGAAAUUCCUUGUCGGGUAAGUUCCGACCUGCACGAAUGGCGUAAUGAUGGCCAGGCUGUCUCCACCCGAGACUCAGUGAAAUUGAACUCGCUGUGAAGAUGCAGUGUACCCGCGGCAAGACGGAAAGACCC